CCGUUUCCGAGCCCAGCGCCCUGUGCGAGGCCUCGCAGUUCCAGGCGGAGCCCGUGGAGGGCCGCCGUGUCAGCAAAGUCGUCAAGACAACGGUGGUGCGUGGAGAGAGGAUGGAGAAGCAUCUGGGGGACCCCCGUGUCGCCCCUGACCUUCCCUCGGCCAAAGACGACUUCGAGCAGGACGACGCUCCAUAAGGCCCGCACGCAGAAGCGGGCGGUGGUGAGGGACCGGCGUGGGAAGCGCGUGCACCUGGAGUCCCUGGAGGAUGUGCCCGAGGCCCUGCAGCGGGAUGACCUCCAGCGCGACCUCCAGCAGCUCCUGCGGCACUUGUGCGGGGACGACCUGGAGCAGGAGGCCACCUGAGGCCGGCUCCCCAGACCCUCAGCCCACGGCGCCAAUUGUGAGACACCUGCCUGCCCCCCCCCCGCCCCCCACGCUGAGCACACGCUCCCUGGUUAGUGUCCCCUUAACUGUCAGCUAAUUUGUGACCAAAGAGAGCCUCCUCCCCGGUGCUGGGUCCCGGCUCCCGGCCUCCGGCUGCCCUGGGAACUGGCGCUCACCCUCCUCCACUUCGCCCAGCCCCACGGGGGCCCUCGGCCUUGGGCUCCCACAGACUCUCCCGUGACAGCAGGCGACAGGCGUCCCGCAAGAGCGUCCGGGUACCAUGUACAUAGAAAACGCUCAGAUGAGCACACGGUGGGUGAGAGCCACUGCCUGGGGUCACCACGUGGGCACCGGGAGCAGGGGCCCUGGAAGCGCUGGACAUGGCAAGUUCAGGGGUUGCGGACACAACCGGAGGACAGCACGCCCGGCCGCUGCAGGAGAGGCACCUUCGACCACCCGUCCUGCCGCCAGCACAGCCAUGGCCUGGGAGCCCCCGGCCACGGCCCCAGGCAGGCAGGGAGCAGGGCGUCCAGGUGCUAGCAGCUGCCCGGGGCCUCCUAGCGUCUUCAGGUCUUUGAUUUCGGACACGUUGGCAGGGUAUCGACGAGCUGUAACGCUGUAGUCUCCAGAUCUCAUUGCUGCUGAGCAAACCGCGCUGUCUUACCCGUGGCCCCUCCUCUGGCCGCGGCUCCGUAGAUACAACCUUGGGAACAGGAUCUGCCCACGACACACAGACCAGACUCCUCCUCUCUCUCCGCGUUCACUCUCCACUGACGCCUGCAUGUCGCAUCUGAAACCCUCCCAAGUCGGACCCUCUUCUGUGAGGUGGCGGUUUCCACUCCCUCCCCGGGGCGGUGAGCUCGCAGGAGAGAUGGAGGCAUCACCACCAGUUUCGUUUUGGUUGAAAUUUGGGGUUUAUUUAUUUGAAAUCCAGACUCCCUUGGGAAACAGGGAGGGCCUGUGUGCGCCUCCCUGGGUGUGCGUUUCAGAGGGCGGGCGGCCUAUUGCAAGUAUAUUCCUAUGCACAGAGCAUCUCUGGAUCAGUUCCUUAUGGAAGAGAAGUGUAUCCAGCAGAGAUGACUUAUAAACAGACCCGCUCUCUCCUCGCGGAUGGAGCCCUUCCCCAUUCCGGCCGGUCUUUUCCUGUCGAGCAGAAAUGAGUCACUGCUCCCAAGGUCAUGAUGAGGACCAGUGCCAGCGCGGCAUUUGGGGAGCGUCACCCCGAGGGUUUCCCGGGCGGGAGUGUCACAACCAGGCCUGACCCAGUGCCAGCGCGGGGCCUCUGGGCAGGAAGGAAGCUUCGUCCGGCAGCCGGUGUGGAGACGGCGCCCUCGGACCCUCCCUGAGUGGGGAAAGCGUGGCUGUUGUGUAACUCGCAGUGCAGGUGACGUCUGUGUGACGUUCUUCACCUUUGUUUUGAAUUUUGCUGUGUGAUCAGAAAACUUGAAUCCUGUGAGAAGAAGUGCAUUUUCAGUUGACGAAUCAGCAUCUUGUUCCCAUGGCGAUAACCCUAAUUGAAUAUAUCUAUGAGGCAUGUACCAGUUAAUGGGGAAAGUACACCACUAACCACACAUAGCUGCAGACCGUGUACCAUGGCUGAUUAACCUAAAUAAAACGUACAAGUGUC